rnacentral:rRNA from 1 species
UUUACUUAUAUGCAACGCUCACGACCUUUACAUGGUCUUGACAUGGUGGGAACUUUCCAGAGACGAUAGAUGCCUUCGGGAGCUUACAUACAGGUGCUGCAAAACAGUCGUCAGCUCGUGUCGUGAGAUGUUGGGUUAAGUCCCGCAACGAGCGCAACCCUUUUCCUUAUUUGCCAGCACUUUGGGUGGGAACUUUAAGGAUACUGCCAGUGACAAACUGGAGGAAGGCGGGGACGACGUCAAGUCAUCAUGGCCCUUACGACCAGGGCUACACACGUGCUACAAUGGUCGGUACAAAGGGUUGCUACCUAGCGAUAGGAUGCUAAUCUCAAAAAGCCGAUCGUAGUCCGGAUUGGAGUCUGCAACUCGACUCCAUGAAGUCGGAAUCGCUAGUAAUCGCGGAUCAGAAUGCCGCGGUGAAUACGUUCCCGGGCCUUGUACACACCGCCCGUCACACCAUGGGAGUUUGUUGCACCAGAAGUGGAUAGUCUAACUGCAAAGAGGACGUUCCACCCACGGGGCUGA